UACAGGGGGCUCAAGCGUUGUUCGGAUUCAUUGGGCGUAAAGGGUGCGUAGGCGGCUCGGUAAGUCGGGUGUGAAAUCUCGGAGCUUAACUCCGAAACUGCAUUCGAUACUGCCGUGCUUGAGUACUGGAGAGGAGACUGGAAUUUACGGUGUAGCGGUGAAAUGCGUAGAUAUCGUAAGGAAGACCAGUGGCGAAGGCGGGUCUCUGGACAGUUCCUGACGCUGAGGCACGAAAGCGUGGGGAGCAAACAGG
rnacentral:rRNA from 1 species